UACGGGGGGGGCAAGCGUUGUUCGGAAUUACUGGGCGUAAAGGGCUCGUAGGCGGCCAACUAAGUCGGACGUGAAAUCCCUCGGCUUAACCGGGGAACUGCGUCCGAUACUGGAUGGCUUGAGUUCGGGAGAGGGAUGCGGAAUUCCAGGUGUAGCGGUGAAAUGCGUAGAGAUCAUGAGGAAGACCAGUGGCGAAGGCGGGUCUCUGGACAGUUCCUGACACUGAGACACGAAGGCCAGGGGAGCAAACGGG
rnacentral:rRNA from 1 species